rnacentral:rRNA from 1 species
UACGAAGGGGGCUAGCGUUGUUCGGAAUUACUGGGCGUAAAGCGUGUGUAGGUGGCUGCGAAAGUCGGAUGUGAAAGCCCUGGGCUCAACUCAGGAAGUGCACCCGAUACUGCGUAGCUCGAGUACCGGAGAGGUUGGUAGAAUUCUCGGUGUAGAGGUGAAAUUCGUAGAUAUCGAGAGGAAUACCUGUGGCGAAGGCGGCCAACUGGACGAGUACUGACACUGAGACACGAGAGCGUGGGGAGCAAACAGG